CUUGCUGCUUUGCUGACAAGUGGCGGACGGUGAGUAAUGUCUGGGAAACUGCCUGAUGAGGGGAUAACUACUGGAAACGGUAGCUAAUACCGCAUAACGUCGCAAGACCAAAGAGGGGACCUUCGGGCCUCUUGCCAUCAGAUGUGCCCAGAUGGGAUUAGCUAGUAGGCGGGGUAAUGGCCCACUUAGGCGACGAUCCCUAGCUGGUCUGAGAGGAUGACCAGCCACACUGGAACUGAGACACGGUCCAGACUCC
rnacentral:rRNA from 1 species